rnacentral:rRNA from 1 species
GUCGUGCGAGAAGUAUCUUCGGAUAUGAGUAGAGCGGCGGACGGGUGAGUAACGCGUAGGAAUCUACCUAGUAGAAGGGGAUAGCCCGGGGAAACUCGGAUUAAUACCGUAUACCUCCUUCGGGAGAAAGAAGGCCUCUCAUAGAAGCUUUCGCUACUAGAUGAGCCUGCGUAAGAUUAGCUUGUUGGUGAGGUAAAGGCUCACCAAGGCGACGAUCUUUAGCGGGUCUGAGAGGACGAUCCGCCACAUUGGGACUGAGACACGGCCCAGACUCCUACGGGAGGCAGCAGUGGGGAAUAUUGGACAAUGGGCGCAAGCCUGAUCCAGCCAUACCGCGUGUGUGAAGAAGGCCCUAGGGUUGUAAAGCACUUUAAGUUGGGAAGAAAAGUUAUUGGUUAAUACCCAAUAGCCGUGACAUUACCAUCAGAAUAAGGACCGGCUAAUUCCGUGCCAGCAGCCGCGGUAAUACGGAAGGUCCAAGCGUUAAUCGGAAUUACUGGGCGUAAAGCGCGCGUAGGUGGUUUAUUAAGUUGGAUGUGAAAUCCCCGGGCUCAACCUGGGAACUGCAUCCAAAACUGAUUCACUAGAGUACGAUAGAGGGAGGUAGAAUUCACAGUGUAGCGGUGGAAUGCGUAGAUAUUGUGAAGAAUACCAAUGGCGAAGGCAGCCUCCUGGAUCUGUACUGACACUGAGGUGCGAAAGCGUGGGUAGCGAACAGGAUUAGAUACCCUGGUAGUCCACGCCGUAAACGAUGUCAACUAGCUGUUGGGGAACUAUGUUCUUCAGUGGCGCAGCUAACGUAGUAAGUUGACCGCCUGGGGAGUACGGCCGCAAGGCUAAAACUCAAAUGAAUUGACGGGGACCCGCACAAGCGGUGGAGCAUGUGGUUUAAUUCGAUGCAACGCGAAAAACCUUACCUAUACUUGACAUACUUGGAAUGCUUUGUAAUGAAGCAGUGCCUUCGGGAGCCAAGAUACAGGUGCUGCAUGGCUGUCGUCAGCUCGUGUCGUGAGAUGUUCCGUUAAGUCGGAUAACGAGCGCAACCCUUACCCUUAUUUGC